rnacentral:rRNA from 1 species
UACGUAGGGUGCGAGCGUUAAUCGGAAUUACUGGGCGUAAAGCGUGCGCAGGCGGUUUUGUAAGCCAGAUGUGAAAGCCCCGGGCUUAACCUGGGAAUGGCCGUUGAAACUGGCGAACUGGAGUGUGGCAGAGGGGGGUGGAAUUCCGCGUGUAGCAGUGAAAUGCGUAGAGAUGCGGAGGAACACCGAUGGCGAAGGCAGCCCCCUGGGCUAACACUGACGCUCAGGCACGAAAGCGUGGGGAGCAAACAGG